UGAAUAUGUGCAUUUGGUGGUCGGAGC
rnacentral:sRNA from 1 species